GUGAGGAAUAUUGGUCAAUGGACGGAAGUCUGAACCAGCCAUGCCGCGUGAAGGAUGAAGGCGUUCUGCGUUGUAAACUUCUUUUAUCAGAGAAGAAACCACUGAUUUCUAUUAGUGUUGACGGUAUCUGAUGAAUAAGCACCGGCUAACUCCGUGCCAGCAGCCGCGGUAAUACGGAGGGUGCAAGCGUUAUCCGGAUUUACUGGGUUUAAAGGGUGUGUAGGCGGGCUUGUAAGUCAGGGGUGAAAUCCUACAGCUUAACUGUAGAACUGCCUUUGAUACUAUAGGUCUUGAAUAUUGUUGAGGUGGGCGGAAUACAUCAUGUAGCGGUGAAAUGCUUAGAUAUGAUGUAGAACACCGAUUGCGAAGGCAGCUCACUAAGCAAAUAUUGACGCUGAGGCACGAAAGCGUGGGGAUCAAACAGGAUUAGAAACCCGUGUAGUCC
rnacentral:rRNA from 1 species